rnacentral:rRNA from 1 species
AUGUAAACUUGUUUGGAAGGUUUAGAGUAAGAUUUUUGAUUUGUUAAGAAAAAUAAUUUUUAAUAGUUGACUGAUUAGUAUGGUAAAUUUAGAUUGAGACUAUAGCUUAAAAGUACCGUGAGGGAAAGUUUAAAUAUAAUGAAAAAUUUAAUUUUGAAAAAGAAGAUAUAAAGUUUUGUACCUUUUGUAUCAGGGAAGAUUUAAAUUUUCUAGUUAAAUUAGGUAUCCCGAAAAAAGAAUAGCUAAAAAAUUAAAAUUGUCUUAGUCGAAAAUAAGUUCUCAAUAAUUUUUUAGUGGUGAAAUAUUAGUCGAGUCUUUUAAUAUCUGGUUAUUUCAGAAAAAAAUUUAAUUUUGUCUGAGUAUAAUAAAAUUAACUCAGGUAAAUAACUGGAGGGAAAAGCUUCUAGUUAGAUAAUUGAACAUAAAGUUAUAUAACUGAAUUUUAUUUUAACUAAGCUUAGAAGUAGCUAUGUUAAUAAAGUGUUUUAACUAAAAUUUUUUAAUAGUUGAUAUUUAUAUGAUUUUUGUUUGUUAGUAUGAAAUUUUGAUAAUAAAUGUUAUGUUAUUGGGAAUAAUGAUCUUAUUAGUAUAAUUGUCUUUGUUAGGAAAUUGAUUAAAUAAAAUAAAAAUUGCACUUUGUUAACAAAUUGAGGAUGCAAUAAAGGAACUCGGCAAAAUAAUUUCUGCCUGUUUAUCAAAAACAUGUCUUUAUGAAAGUUUAUAUAAAGUCUAGCCUGCCCAGUGAUGUUUAAAUUUAACGGCCGCGGUAGUAUGACCGUGCUAAGGUAGCAU